UACGGGGGGGGCAAGCGUUGUUCGGAAUUACUGGGCGUAAAGGGCGCGUAGGCGGCCUGCUAAGUCACACGUGAAAUCCCUCGGCUCAACCGGGGAACUGCGUGUGAUACUGGCGGGCUUGAAUUCGGGAGAGGGAUGUGGAAUUCCAGGUGUAGCGGUGAAAUGCGUAGAUAUCUGGAGGAACACCGGUGGCGAAGGCGGCAUCCUGGACCGAGAUUGACGCUGAGGCGCGAAAGCUAGGGUAGCAAACAGG
rnacentral:rRNA from 1 species